rnacentral:lncRNA from 1 species
CUUUAUUAAAGAAUUUUAAAUUCUAAUUACUUUUGAUUUUUAAAAUGUUUGAAAUUUAUAUUCCUUUCUAGUUAUUUGCUCUAGCGCAAAGAAAAUGUGAAUAUUCUUUGAAAAUUAGAAAAAAAUAUUCUUGGCUGUUAGUAGAAAAAAGAUAUUUGUUAUGAAUUGUAUGGCUUCUCCCCUCAGCCAAAUCCUGCCAUGAUUUCUUAAUAUAUAACUCACUGUGAUCAAGAUAAGCUGUUUUGAGUAUUUUCUUUUCCAAAUUUGUUUUUAAAUCCUUUGCAAAUUAACGUAAAAGGAGAAAAUUAACUAUCUAAGUCUGUGCUAAUUAAACCAAACCAAAUGCAUGUAAAUUUUCAUUUUUUUUUUUAUCUACAAACUGUCAAUUUCUUUAAUCAUACACAACAGACGCAAAAAUACAUAGAUGUGACUCCUUCUCAAUGAAAAUCUUUUGAUUAUCCUAUGAAAAAAAAAUCAUUUAAAAUAAAAGCUGUUUUUAAGAUACUAGCUUUGCUCAGAGAAGAGAUAUUUGUUGACACCAUAUCCUUAAAGGCUAAAUGAAUGAAUAAUCUUAAUUUUUGUUUUUAAAUCUGCUCUCUUUGAGAAUAUAAUAGUAAGUUGUAUAGUCAUGCCAAAUAAAGUAUUUAUUUUAUUACAUAUAUGCACCAAAUUGACAACAGAUUAUUUUCUAUUUCUAGCAAAGAAAAAUUUGUUCACAUUUCAUUUCCUUUGCUAAGUAUGGAAAACUAAUCUUUACAUGGGGAAACUUUUGUCUUUAAAAAACUGCUAAUCGAGAUAAACAUAUUUAAAAAAUUGUAGAUUUAUGGUUUAUAUUAAAUUUAUAUGCCUGAACAUUUAUUUAUUUUUUGUUUAUUUUGGUGGGGUGGGGUCUUGUGUAUUAUAUAUCAAUUAGAUAUGAUGCGAAAAACAUCUUACAAACAAAUCUCUACAAAAUGUAGUAAAAUUAAUUUUGGUUUCAUCUACAAUAAAAUAUUUAGUUAGCUGGAAUUAUAUUACGUUAAUGAAGUAUGGCUUACGAGAGAGACAAGACUUAACUGAUUCAUUACUCGAUGAAAAUGAUCUUGAAAGAGAAAACAAAAUUUCAUUUCAUUUUUUAUUUUUACAAUUACAUUUAAUAUAGCUGUUAUAAAAACAAUAUUUAGUCUUAUUAACAUUGGCAACAGAAUAACAAGUCAAUGAUGCUAAAAAGGGAAUCAAAUGAAUCUAUUUUUAUACCAUUUGUAUUUGAUAUCCUACUCUUCUGCCAUUUUAUUAUUUGUGACCAGCUUAUUUUGUUGCCUGGUUAACACAACUCUAAAGCACAUACACAUGUUAAUAUAUUCUUAAAAAUGGGAAAUAUAUGUAACUCCAAUGAAUGUAACCUGCAGCCUGAUUGUAUUACUUGUAACAAAAUAGAGCAGAUUUUUAAACGCUAACUAAGAUCAAUUUCCUUGUUUAAAACAAUAAACAAAAAGGUAAAUUUUGUGCUUAAUUUUCGUGUACUGAUGGUCUUUUAUAACAAAGACCAUCAAAUUACUGUCUUUCAGGAGAACUGGUCUGCCUAAUAUCUCUUAUCUUCAACAAAGUGUAGGCUGUUGCGUGAUAAACUGGUUCACAGCAGAUUAGAAUAUAUUUUAUUGUUCUGUACACUACACCAAUUCUUCUAACUUGCUACCAGGUAAUAAUGGCUCAGUUUUCUCUUGUUACAAUAUUUGAUGAAAACAAAAAGAAGCACUCUGUAUAAACAAAUCUUGAGACUUGUAAAAAUCCCAUUCAUAGCUGAUAAAAUUGAUGUUAAUUCUCUGAGUGAAUCUCCAGGGUCUCUAUGAUACAUUUUCUUAAAAGCUUUAUAUAAGUAAACAAGCCCAUUCCAUUGGUCAGAUCUCGAUUAUAAUUGUACAGUUCACAUUUUUACAAAAAAUAUUUCAAUCCUUAAAGCUAAUGAUCUAUACGUAAAAUAUAUAUAAUUAAUUUAUAAUUCUGAAUCAUUGAAACCAUGUCAGUAAUGUUAAUUUUUCAAUUAAAAAUUAACAAUACAAGAUUCCUAAUAUUUAAAUGAAAACAGCUUACAAAACUAGUUUUCUGAAGAUGAACAGAUUGAUCUUAAGAAAAUCAAAUUACUCUUUUAAAAGCUGGAGUAUUUCACACGCAGCUAAAUUCUCUCAUAAAUGAGAAAUUAUCCUAUUGAAUUAUAAUAUAAUUAUGAAAUUAAUUAAAAUAUAUACUUCCUAUAUCUGUACAUUAUUUAUUUUUAUCAUUAUGCUCAUGACUGAGGUUAGACAUCAUUGGUUUUAGGGGCAAAUCUUUUAUCUCAUCGAAUAAAUUUGUUACAAAUAUGUAACAAUGUCCAGCAUGAUAAUAUGAAGCCAGUUCAUAUGUGUUUAGUAGACGAUGAUAUAAAACACUAAAGCUUUUGAAUUUCGAGAAGAUUAUAAAAUGUAGGGACCAAGCAAAUAAGUUAUAUUACAUACCUAUGCUUGUUAAUAUCUUUCACAUUUUAUUUCCUUGCUUAACCAGCUUGCUCUUUGAAUAGGUUGGUUAAGCAAGGCUGUCCAUAUAGGUUCAAAGACUUUCAAAUUUUAAAUGGGAAAGGUUGUUAUAAGAUUUAACAAAUUUUGACUGCUACAUUGAAAAGCAGUUUGUGGUGCUCUGAACUUCACAUAUUAAACAAAAUAUUUGGUUAAUUUGAGUCUUCUGGUUAUGAAAGGAUUUCAGUUUAGUUGCUUUUGCAAACUCAAGUAGUAUGAGUCAAGCUGCAUGUUAUAUAAUUUUUCAAAAGUGUUAUUUUCAAAACGAUAUACCCCACUCCCACUAAAAAAUUAUUUCAAACAAAGCUGCUCUAUAGUUAGGACCCUGCUGUGUCAUUAUUAUUCUGGUACCAAGUAUUGUUUAUUAAAGAGAAAAAAGAUUUUGAAAAGUUAUUUCUCUUUAGUUUUUCUCCCAGACUACCAAGUGUUUGGGUAAGUGAUUGUAUCCAGGCUGCUGUAUACCUGUUGUUUGUUGUCAUUUCCUGUUAUGAUGGUUGUAAACAUUGUUGAAGCUGAGAAUAAUCAUGUCAACUUAAAGCUGUGCAGGUUUGUUCGCUAGUGCCUUCCUAGAAGUCUUGCUCGGAUCUAUACCUGGAACCAAAUCAACGUCCUUCCUUUCAUUUCUGUUUGGUCACUUGGACCAUAACAGUAAGCCAUUAAAUCAGGCUGCAGACAUGUUUACUGUUGAAACUUGUAGUCAGUGCUUGUAAAUACACUUGUUUGACCCUUGAUUUUUUUGUCUGUUAUUUUUUAUUUAUUU